CCUACGGGAGGCAGCAGUGAGGAAUAUUGGUCAAUGGACGAGAGUCUGAACCAGCCAAGUAGCGUGAAGAAUGACUGCCCUAUGGGUUGUAAACUUCUUUUAUAUGGGAAUAAAAUGUUCCACGUGUGGGAUUUUGUAUGUACCAUAUGAAUAAGGAUCGGCUAACUCCGUGCCAGCAGCCGCGGUAAUACGGAGUAUCCGAGCGUUCGCCGGAUUUAUUGGGUUUAAAGGGAGCGGCGGUAGAUUGUUAAGUCAGUUGUGAAAGUUUGCGGAUCAACCGUAAAAUUGCAGUUGAGACUGGCAGACUUGAGUACAGUAGAGGUGGGCGGAAUUCGUGGUGUAGCGGUGAAAUGCUUAGAUAUCACGAAGAACUCCGAUUGCGAAGGCAGUUCACUGGACUGCAACUGACACUGAGGCUCGAAAGUGUGGGUAUCAAACAGGAUUAGAUACCCCAGUAGUC
rnacentral:rRNA from 1 species